rnacentral:rRNA from 1 species
GUAGGGAAUAUUGCGCAAUGGACGAAAGUCUGACGCAGCGACGCCGCGUGAGUGAUGAAGGCCUUAGGGUCGUAAAGCUCUGUUGAAUGGGAAGAAAAAAAUGACGGUACCAUUCGAGGAAGGACCGGCUAACUUCGUGCCAGCAGCCGCGGUAAUACGAGGGGUCCUAGCGUUGUUCGGAAUCAUUGGGCGUAAAGGGUGUGUAGGUGGCGAUGUAAGUCAGGUGUGAAAGCCCCGGGCUCAACCCGGGAAGUGCACUUGAUACUGCGUGGCUUGAGUACCGAAGAGGGGAGUGGAAUUCCAGGUGUAGUGGUGAAAUACGUAGAUAUCUGGAGGAACACCGGUGGCGAAGGCGGCUACCUGGUCGAGUACUGACACUGAGACACGAAAGCAUGGGGAUCAAACAGGAUUAGAAACCCCAGUAGUCC